rnacentral:rRNA from 1 species
GAUGAACGCUGGCGGCGUGCCUAAUACAUGCAAGUCGAGCGAACAGACGAGGAGCUUGCUCCUCUGACGUUAGCGGCGGACGGGUGAGUAACACGUGGAUAACCUACCUAUAAGACUGGGAUAACUUCGGGAAACCGGAGCUAAUACCGGAUAAUAUAUUGAACCGCAUGGUUCAAUAGUGAAAGACGGUUUUGCUGUCACUUAUAGAUGGAUCCGCGCCGCAUUAGCUAGUUGGUAAGGUAACGGCUUACCAAGGCGACGAUGCGUAGCCGACCUGAGAGGGUGAUCGGCCACACUGGAACUGAGACACGGUCCAGACUCCUACGGGAGGCAGCAGUAGGGAAUCUUCCGCAAUGGGCGAAAGCCUGACGGAGCAACGCCGCGUGAGUGAUGAAGGUCUUCGGAUCAUAAAACUCUGUUAUUAGGGAAGAACAAAUGUGUAAGUAACUAUGCACGUCUUGACGGUACCUAAUCAGAAAGCCACGGCUAACUACGUG